rnacentral:rRNA from 1 species
GUUGAACGCUGGCGGCAGGCCUAACACAUGCAAGUCGAACGAGUGUCUGACGGGUGAGUAAUGUCUGGGAAACUGCAUGCUGCCUGGGGAUAACUACUGGAAAAGGUAGCUAAUACCGCAUACCAUCGGAUGUUCCCAGAUGGGAUUAGCUGGUAGGUGGGGUAAAGGCUCACCUAGGAGACGAUCCCUAGCUGGUUUGAGAGGAUGACCAGCAACACGGGAACUGAGAAAAGGCCAAGACUCCGCCGGGAGGCAGCAGUGGGUAAUAUUGCACAAUGGGGGAAAGCCUGAUGCAGCCAUGCCGCGUGGAUGAAGAAGGCCUUCGGGUUGUAAAGUAUUUUCAGCGGGGAGGCGUUACCCGAAGAAGAAGCACCGGCUAACUCCGUGCCAGCAGCCGCGGUAAUAC